rnacentral:rRNA from 1 species
GAUGAACGCUGGCGGCGUGCUUAACACAUGCAAGUCGAACGGGACUUGUUAAGUUGAAACUUCGGUCGAUUCUUUUCAAGUCUAGUGGCGGACGGGUGAGUAACGCGUGGGUAACCUACCCAUAACAGGGGGAUAAGCGGAAGAAAUUCCGUCUAAUACCGCGUAACACAUAGUUGAGGCAUCUCGAUAAUGUAAAAGAUUUAUCGGUUAUGGAUGGGCAUGCGGCGCAUUAGCUAGUUGGCGGGGUAACGGCCCACCAAGGCGAUGAUAGGUAGCCGGCCUGAGAGGGUGAACGGCCACAUUGGGACUGAGAUACGGCCCAG